UCUUGGCUGAUUUAUUUUGAUUUUCCCAUGAUGUCAAGCAAAGAGGCACCGAGUUUGAAGAUCUUCGGGAAGUGGGUCUUCAUCAAGGGUUUCCUGGACCAUGAGAUGUUCAAUGCCAUACUGAGAAAGACCAACAGCUGCUGGAUUGAAUUCUUUCCCAGUUCCCACAACAAGAUAGUCCUCCUCCUCCAGGGAGACUUGAUGACAUUUACUGCAAACCUGCCCUGACUGUCUCGCCAUGCACAGCAGUAGCACCAUGGCCGGAGUGCAUAUCUGAUCUCUCUAUAUCUUUGGUAGGUGUGUGUGCGCACAUGUGCUAUUGAGACGUCUCGAAUGGCCAAAUAUUACCCAAACAUUUACCCAAAAGCUUUUGAAAACCAGGAACCCAAGUCAAUCAAGUCAUGGAAUCAACUAGUUUAUUUUCCUCUUUCCAGGGAAGGCGGCGGGCGGGCGGGCAGGCAGGCAGUAGUUUGUACACAGUGAGGUUGUUCAUUAGAAAAUGGGAUUCACAUUAAGGCCAAACACAAAGCUACAUUUCCAUGCAUAACCUUGUACUAUGGUCCAUUACCAAAACCAAACACACAGAAGACAGCAGCUCUAGGAUUAAAUAAACACAAAAUGCAUUAAUCAUUAUCAAAGUUACCAAAGCAUUUCUGAGUUCCUGAACGCUGUCACGGUACCCAUGGUGGAAUCCAUAGCCCCAGGAUCAACUCUAUUCAACUCAAAGGGGAAUAACGGAACAUUUCAAAAAUGUGUCUAUGUUCCUAAACCUGUCUGACUCAUUGUUGGACUUUCUGUCAAAGUGCUUACCUCUCUCAUUCAGGGAGAGCGAGGUAGAGCUAGAGCGCGAGCUACAGUAUGUCAGAGUUAUCCAGCCCCUCACUCACUGCAGCGCUAGAUAGAACUUUGUGGAAUAAGCAAAUCUAUGAAGAAUAUCAACAUUCUGUCACAGUAGGGGCAGACUGGGACAAGAAUUCGGCCUUGGCAUUUUAUCCACACCAGCCCAGAUUACUGCGUGUGCCACCAACAGUGGAGGCUGCUGAGGGGAGAACGGCUGAAAAUAAUGGCCGGCGCGGCGCAAAUGGAAUGGCAUCAAACACAUGGUUUCCAAAUACAUUAUAAAUACAUGUGGGGCCAACCAUUGCCCACUGAUCAGCUAAAGGCUCAUUAUAGAUUAGAACAACACAGAAAUUGUGCAAAAAUAUGAACAGCCACUAUUUCAUUAUUUUUCAACCAGCCCAUUCAAGUAAAAAUGGUCCACCCCAUCUGGCAUUUGCCAGAAUUGCCAGAUGGCCAAUCCACCUGUGUCACAGCGAAAAUACUACAUUUGUGAAGUCCAAGCGAUUGUGAGAUAUGGCAUAUAUAUAUAUAU